rnacentral:tRNA from 1 species
GGGAUUGUGGCUCAAUGGUAGAGCACUCGCCUAACAUGUGUGGGGCCCUGGGUUCAAUCCUCAGAAUCACA